UUUUCCAAAGGAAAGGUUGAAAGAAGAAACUGAGUCGGUUUUCUCUGAUUAUUCUUGAUGUUUCUACUCAGAUUUUUGUAAAUGUAUGCUAAAUUCCAUGACAAGUGUUAAAAUCGUUUCUUUAAACUGUAGCAUACGUGUCACGGAAAAUCUUAAACCAAAAUCAAAACCGAAAACUAAAAUUUGGACCAGUUAUCAAACUUCGUGCUAACACUACAAAGGAAGGUAAAUAUAUUUGCACAGUUGGAGAUUUCAAAUAUGUUAAACAAGUAGCAUUCACUCCCUACUAAAGGUAGAACAUACACCUUUGACCACAGCAAGAGUCUGUAUAAAGGCUGUGCCGACUCUGGUAAAUUUUUAAUUUGUGGGAAUCAACAAAUGCAUUAAUAAAAACUUUCACAGAUUUUUAAAUUCCCUAUAUCUUUCAGGUACCUUUAACACCCACUUGAGCUCUCAGUGGAAUGCAAAUCUAUCUGGAGGAAUUAGAGAUGGUAGGAUUCAUAUCCUUAUUAAGCUUGCUUGAUGCCUUCCCAGUCUCUUUAAACUUCACUGCUCCAAACUGGAGACUCCACAGCUGCUGUGUCCCAGCGGGUCCAGGCAAUGAUUGAGGUUGGUUUUCACACCUACUAUAAUUCUCUAAUGGGAAGAGAUUCUUUUCUUCUAACUCCCCCUGGGCUUUCUCACCUCUGUGUCUCAUCUUGUACUGCUUAGAUUCCACGGUCCAACUCAUCAAUUACAGCAGAGACUCGAUGCCAAUGGCCAAACGUGUUUCCUCCUCUUCCUGAAACACAACUGGAAUUUCCCAGCAUCCCUUGCAGCUAGAUGAGGUCAUGCCUGGGCCACUUCCUGUAUGACCCAUUUAAAACCGCUCGCGAGCACUGCUUGGUGUUCUUCCCCCAUGCUUGGGCUGGUGCACUGACCUGGCACUGCAUUGCACUGUGAGACCUGUGUUGACUCCCUGACAUGUGGGCAUUUUGAUGGUUAUAACAGUUAGCCUGCAUUAACUAGUUCCCCAACCAAUCUUGUAGUCUCCUUGCCAACAUUUGAAACGCCCUUGUCCCUUUAUCCUUUACUUACUUGGCCAAACCUGCCCUGCAUGGACCG
rnacentral:lncRNA from 1 species